rnacentral:rRNA from 1 species
AGUGCUAAGAGAAUGGAUUUUCAAAAAAAUUCUUUUUUGAAUUUAAAAAUUGAAGUUAUUUUUAUUUGUGAAGAAACAAUAAUAUAAAUUAAGGACAAGAAGACCCUAUGAAUUUUUAUAAAUGUAUUAAUAUUAAUAUUAAUACAUUUUCUUAAUUGGGGCGAUUAAAAAAUAUUAUUAACUUUUAUAAAUAUAAAUAUGAUCCAUUAAUAAUGAUUUCAUGAAAAAAAUACUCUAGGGAUAACAGCG